rnacentral:rRNA from 1 species
AUUGAACGCUGGCGGCAGGCCUAACACAUGCAAGUCGAGCGCGAAAGGCCUUCGGGCUGAGUAGAGCGGCGGGCGGGUGAGUAACGCGUAGGAAUCUACCUGGUAGUGGGGGACAACUUGGGGAAACUCAAGCUAAUACCGCAUACGCCCCAUGGGGGAAAGCGGGGGACCUUCGGGCCUCGCGCUAUCAGAUGAGCCUGCGUAGGAUUAGCUAGUUGGUGAGGUAAAGGCUCACCAAGGCGACGAUCCUUAGCUGGUCUGAGAGGAUGAUCAGCCACACUGGGACUGAGACACGGCCCAGACUCCUACGGGAGGCAGCAGUGGGGAAUAUUGCGCAAUGGGGGCAACCCUGACGCAGCCAUGCCGCGUGUGUGAAGAAGGCCUUCGGGUUGUAAAGCACUUUAAGUGGGGAGAAAGGCCCGUUGGUUAAUAGCCAGCGGGAUUGAUGUUACCCACAGAAUAAGCACCGGCUAACUCCGUGCCAGCCGCCGCAGUAAUAC